rnacentral:snRNA from 1 species
GUACUCACUUCGGCAGCACAUAUACUAAAAUUGGAAUGAUACAGAGAAGAUUAGCAUGG